CUGCUCAAUGGGCUGCAGGUGGGGACAAAUCUGGCAGAGACAGACUGCAUGUUCAAUUCAGACAUUAGGAUUGCCUACACAGACCCAUACGACAGACCAACAACGUCAGCAAUGUCAUUGAUUGUCUUCCAAUGAUCCUCAUGCACAAGCUGAUGAAUUUCUCCACAUUUUAAGGAAAAACAGCACAU